AAUGAUAGGAACAUCCCGUUUGGAGCUCCGUGACAUGAUGAGAGCUCUGUGUCAUGCAUUUUGUGGCAGAACCAACCUGAAUUAUACCGGCUCAAGUACGUGAGUCCAAUCCCGAGGGCUCCAACGUCCUUCAAACGGUAUAAUCCCUUGGCCUGUCGGGUAACGUCCCGAUAAACCACCGAUACACAGGAUUAAAUAAGGUUACCUCACACGAAGGUGAGUCCAGAGAUAUAAUCACCAUCAUAUUUUACAUCACAAGGAAUUACAUUAUAAGAGUUUUCAAAAGCAGUACAUUACAAACUGCUAAAGUCAUGGUUUUUGGCAGCGGAAAUCAUACGCGAUGAUUUACAGCACGUCGUCAAGACGGAUGUCAUGCUAAGCCCAGGCACGACAUCACUCGGUACCACCAAUGUUGGUCGGGGACGGAUCCCAUUUCACGGACCAACCUUCUGAAAGAGCACAGGGUCAAGGCAAGGGAAGAGUAGGGUCUUCAAGACAUUUCCUGCAAAACAUAUAACUAGCAAGGCUGAGUAUACUAAUACUCAGCAAGGCUUACCCGGGAUUGGGUAUACUUUAGCCCAUAACUAGACUCAUGAAGGCAUUUCAAGGGUUCUGGGUUUAUUUUUAGCUGAAAAGCAACAAAGAGUAUAACUUACUUUCAAGUUUAGCUUUCAGAUUCUAGUUUGAUUAGCCAAUCUAGGUAAGCACCUAUACUAAACAAGCAAGAUAUAGAUUAUCAUCCAUCAAGAUUAUUCCCUCAACAUUUACACUUUUUUACUCGAUGUGGUAGAAGGGAUAAGCAGUCUCAUUCAUCGUGAGAGGCGGACGAUUCCUGAAUCGAAAUUCAACCUUGCAAGGUAAACCUAACACACACGCCUGGAACAUCCAAAGAUCGUUCCGAAGCAACCGUUUGCCUUUCAUUCCGGGUCGUGGACAGGGCCACCACAAGCGACUGCAGGACCAUACGCACACCCUAUAUGUGCAGGGCGUACGUCUGUAGCGCGACUACAAAACCCGUACUCCUGGUUGCCCUUGCAACACGUAUUCCCACACGUCGAAUCAAGUAACCAGAAGAACAAAUACAUGUGGUGGUCAGUAUGUCCACUUGCCGGGCCGAUUGGUUACUAGGCUUACCGCUUACCAUAUUUCGCGGUAUGUGGCUAGUACUUUCAAACGCUCAGCCACCACUACCACACAUUUCGACCUUAAAGCUUUUAUCAAAACAGAUAGGGUAAACUUUAGGUCAUGAUACAACACAUGACCCUGUCCAUCAUCCUUAUAGUGGUUGCAGAAUUGUAAACAAGCAACUCCUAUAUCGCGCGAGUGACAGGGAAUCACCUGACUUUUACCGGUCCUAUUUAGCAGAGCAUCUAUGCGAAAAGGACUCGGGUACAGUACACUGGGUUCCUGAGAUAUCAUGCAACUAGAGUGUCAUUGCAACUCCUAGACGUAAUGCAAGAUAUAUAAUGUAUAAGAUUGCGUAUUGUAGUAAGUUGAAAUACUGGGUUAUGCACCGGGGCUUGCCUUUACUGGUGGGUCUGAAGUCAGUAAGUCAACAUCUUCCGAACUUUGGUUCGGGGCUUCAGAUAAUCCUUUGGUGACGUUCAUUUGGUCUUUAGAGGCAUCCUCCGCAGACUCCGGGGAGAUCUCGUAGGUACCGUUGCCGAAGUAGUCGUGUCUACAUGCAAUGCAACAUUACAUUCAAGCGUGCACACAAAACUAUUUUAUUUCACAGCAAAGCUGCAAUCCAGCACUCAUUUAACACACUAUUCAUAUAACAAACACAAAGAUCGGAAACUAACUUUGGUGGAGCUUUAGGAGGAUAACUAAUUAGAACUGGCUACUUGUUGAUGGUUACAACAGAGCCGUUUGGAAACAACGGAGGUUUAGCUGAUGGAAAGAUGCAUUAGGUUUCUAGAUGAUCGAUGAAAGCAUCGAUUAUCUUGGCAGAAGGAUGAUUCCUAAAGCAGUUGUCUUAACUGAGAUGUGCUUAAGUGUUAUUCUAGGUAACUAGUGUGGUUGUAUCGACCCGAUUACGUCAGCACAGCAAUUGAGUGACGUAUAGCUGAAUGGAGUGUGGUUAAGGGUAUAUGACCGAUAAACAUAUAGCCGAUCUCUCAGUCGAUAAAUCGACUGAUAGAAGUGUGUGGAUAAGGAUGGGGAAACUAAGGAUCGAUCGGCCGUGUUUGACCGAUAUGGAAAAGCAACCAAAAUCGGCUUGGGUCGGCCGAUGGUAAGAACCCUAAGAUCGUGGGUGUCUCUCCG
rnacentral:lncRNA from 1 species